rnacentral:rRNA from 1 species
UGCAGUCGAGGGGCAGCAUAUUCUUCGGAAUGAUGGCGACCGGCGGACGGGUGCGUAACGCGUAUGCAACCUACCUGUUACAGGGAGAUAGCCCGGGGAAACUCGGAUUAAUAUUCCAUGGUACUAUUUGAUUGCAUGAUUGAGUAGUUAAAGAUUUAUUGGUAGCAGCUGGGCAUGCGUCUGAUUAGCUAGAUGGUGGUGUAAGGGACCACCAUGGCGGUGAUCAGUAGGGGGCCUGAGAGGGUGAUCCCCCACACUGGCACUGAGAUACGGGCCAGACUCCUACGGGAGGCAGCAGUAGGGAAUAUUGGUCAAUGGGCGAGAGCCUGAACCAGCCACGCCGCGUGCAGGAAGACGGCCUUCUGGGUUGUAAACUGCUUUUGGAAGGGAACAAAACGGUCAUGCGUGGCCAAUUGCGUGUACCUUCAGAAUAAGCACCGGCUAACUCCGUGCCAGCAGCCGCGGUAAUACGGAGGGUGCAAGCGUUGUCCGGAUUCAUUGGGUUUAAAGGGUGCGUAGGCGGUGCAUUAAGUCAGUGGUGAAAGCUGGCCGCUCAACGGUCGAACUGCCAUUGAUACUGGUGUACUUGAGUUUAGUCGAGGUAGGCGGAAUUUAUGGUGUAGCGGUGAAAUGCAUAGAUACCAUAAAGAACACCGAUAGUGAAGACAGUUUACCAGACUACAACUGACGCUGA